rnacentral:lncRNA from 1 species
AGUUACUGUAGAGACAGGUAAUUAAUACAGGUAAGUGAUAAGGUUAAUUAAUAGGUGACAUUGAUAAGGUUAGUAAUGUAAUUGAUGACUCUCUCCUUCGUCCCUUCCUUCUCUUUCUCCUUCCAUUUUCACUUCCCUUAUUUCUUUCUCUCCUUUCCUUCCCUUCUUUCCUUCCUCCUUACCUCCCUUCUCACUCCUUCCCCCCCCCCUUCCUUCCCCCACAAGAGUCAGGAAGACGUACCUAACCUAACCUCCUGCCCUGUGUAUCAAAUUUACACGACUAAUGUGCUAUGUAGGUAUUGGUGGAGGGGGGGGGAGAGGAGAAGGACGAGGUGGAGGAGAACUGUGGUCACCAUUAUUAUCUCCUAUUCUAAGUAACUACCACCAUUACCACCACAAUACCUACCACAAUUACCACCACGAUUACCCUCUCCAUCUGUUAUCUCGUGUGUGUGUGUCCCAAAGGAAAUAUUCACAAACCUUUCAGCCAAUCAGAAGCUAGGAAAGACAUAACGCAAAUUACAACUCCAUCACCAUUUGUUAAUCAGACAGACAGACAGACAGGUAAGGUAGUCUCCCUAAGUACCCUCCCGGGACCGCUGGGAACAACAUGGUGAGAAGGUCAUGGGAGUAAUCUUUUUUCAGUGAGGGACAACAAAUGUGACCCAGGAGAUGAAGAGAGUUAAGUUGUCCUUUAAUGUGGUCGUGUGGUGAAUGUGGAGUUGCUAGUAGUGGUAGUGGUAGGUUAAUUCAGGCUAAACUAAAGUAGGUAAGGUAAGGAUAGGUAAGGUAAGGAUAGGUUCUGACAACACAGGAUAAAGACUCCCCAGGUGAGAGGUUCCAUUAUUCACAAGUAAGGGCCACAGGUGGUCGGGUCGGUCUCUCACUCCACUUAAAUAAACACAAUCUUCACCAGCCAACAGUCGAGGUGUACCUUUAAGGCCGACCUAUGAGGCCCCGAGGAGGAGUUACUGUCUCUUGAGGUCAGCAACUUGUCAUCUAAACACACACACACACACCCAUAGAUAGAUACCAUACAGACACAAAAACAAACAGACAGACAGACAGACACUCACAACACAGGUAUUGAAGGUAAAUUACACCUAAAUAUUUCUAAUAAUAUUGACGAGACAAAAAUAUUGGCCUAAAACGUCAAUACAUAGGAAUGUGUCUCUCAAGGUCGUGAAUAUUGUUAUUACAGUGUCGAUAGUGUUCUUACCUUCUGUAUUGUGCUGCAUCUGACUGAAGUGUGUUGUAUUUUACUGUAUGUUAGUGUAAUAUGUUGUAUUUUACUGUAUAUUAAUGUAACGUGUUGUAUUUUGCUGUAUGUUAGUGUAAUAUGUUGUAUUUUGUUGUAUCUGACUGAAUCGUGUUGUAGUUUACUGUAUCUUGUAUUAGUACAGUAAAUUUCAAAGUAUAAAUAUCGUAAAGGCUGUUAUAGGAAGGGUCUAUAAGGACGAGUCACCCAAUACCCCCUGUACAAAUUCCGUCCUUAUGAACUGCUCUUCCCUAAUAAUCUAAACUACCCUCACGCUUGUUACUCCUUGAGCCCCCCCCCCCAACUCUCCGGUGUUUGCCCCUAUAUAAAGAGAACCGGCUGGGAUUUUUUUUUCUUUACUAGUCUGUACCAGAACUUGGCGUGAGCAAGAGGCCUCGCGUGUGUGGUGGAGCUCGAGUAUUACCACAGAUCUCUACAGUAUCUUAAGUAUUGUAUAGUAGUAUUUUUAGUCUGGUAUUUGUCUAGUGUUGGCUUUGAUUCUAUGUAGGGUGUUAUACUAGUGUGUCUAUUUAAUUUAGUGUUCGUUAUAUUUAUGGUGAAAAGGUUAAGUUAUAGGUGAGAUAAUUCCUAAACUACUCUAGGCGAGAAGAGCUUGGCUUAAAAGUAGUUUAGCGAAGGACUGGAGACCGUAACCUACGACUGGCCGGUACAUGUCCUUGCUGUCUGAAGAUUAAUUUCGGUGACCAUUACGGAAAUGCUAGUUUAUUCCUGGUAUAUUUAAGGCGGUGUUAUAGUGAAGCAUUUGUUAAUAACUUUGGUUAGUACUCGUGUUUCUGCGCGUUAAUAUUACGUUAGUGUUUAUUUAAGUGAUGUGGCCGCUUAAAAUAAGUUUGGAUCCAGUUAUCUUGGGUUUUAUGGUACAGUUGUGACGACCGUGGAAUGUUGUACAUAAAUUUUCUACAACGCAUCUCUAUUAAAGUAUUUCCUGGUAAAUUCAUUUCAGAAUAUCUAGUUGUUGAUGGUACAAGGCGUAGGUACCUUGAACACGAGCCACAGUGAGUGUUUUAGUCUCGACGGCAACGACAGUCUCAACCACUUUCCACACAACACAGGUUGGUAAAAUACCGCUGGUUUAAAAGGUCGGUGGCAGGAAAAUUAUGUACACGAUGAAUUGUUUGCCAAGCUGAGGAAGCCCACGGGGUGCAUCGAAAAAUAUUGCUAGCAAAGACUGUUUCUGAUCAUGAUUUAGUAUCCGGAGCAUGCGCAGAGUAUCACGUGGCACAGAUCGACGCCGAUUGGUGGGGCAUACAGUACUUGCGUCAGUCGCAUGCUAAGUGAAAUGGAAGCGUGUUCUUUAAUAUAAAUUUGCCACCGAAGAUUUUCUUUAUAUAAACAGAAUUAUGAACUUACGUGGUAGACCUCAGAUGAAUCUUAAACCAAAUGUUAUAGUUGUCAUCGCCAUAUGCAGAAGUUUAGUUUCCUUGUUCAAAUUUCAAUGAGGAAUUAAUUAGUGCAUUUCCUAUGUACUUUCUGAGGUACACUCUUUAAACCCUCGUUCUGUAGUCAAAGAGAAGGUUAUUGUAGGGGUUUAACAAUAUUCCGGACCACUCGGCUGCUCAAGAUGUAAUGGUAAUCGGGGUUAUCGAAUUGGUAUGCUAAUGUCUAACUGUUACAGGCCCCAUAUCGUCUGGACUCCCGAGUUGGCGUUAUGGCUGAGGUCGUCCUUGAGGGCUUCACCGUCUGCCUCCCGAGGAAAGAACUACCCUACACGCUAGUUUCCCGGUAUUCCUGGGCUGAACUAAUCCGUAUGGAGGUUCUCUUCUGUCGACUUACUGACGUUGAAUUCACCGCUCCACUGCACAAUUCUCCUUAAGAGCAGGUACGGUGACCUACCUGGCUCGUAAUGGGUCGGCGUCACUGCCACCUGACAAUUGGACGUCGGUUGUUCGAAAUAUGUUGACGCACAAACUGCUCCUGUCCUGUGACCCAGUAUUUACAUUACAUGAUUUACCCCAAGCUGUUCAUAGUGCACGUGUAGAUCCGUAUGUGAAUCCUUUCUACAGUCUGGUACCGCCCUGAUCAUGUCUGGCCUUACUGUUAUGUAUAAUUGUGGCCUAAAUUGUCUUGUUUGUAUCUAGCUUAGUUAUAUUUAGAGUGAGCUACAGUACAUAACCUUAAGUAUUGUUAAUUGUUUCUGAACUUAAUAAAAAGUAAUUUGCUA